rnacentral:rRNA from 2 species
AUGAUUUACAUUUGAGUGAGUGGCGAACUGGUGAGUAACACGUGGGAAACCUGCCCAGAAGCGGGGGAUAACACCUGGAAACAGAUGCUAAUACCGCAUAACAACUUGGACCGCAUGGUCCGAGUUUGAAAGAUGGCUUCGGCUAUCACUUUUGGAUGGUCCCGCGGCGUAUUAGCUAGAUGGUGGGGUAACGGCUCACCAUGGCAAUGAUACGUAGCCGACCUGAGAGGGUAAUCGGCCACAUUGGGACUGAGACACGGCCCAAACUCCUACGGGAGGCAGCAGUAGGGAAUCUUCCACAAUGGACGAAAGUCUGAUGGAGCAACGCCGCGUGAGUGAAGAAGGGUUUCGGCUCGUAAAACUCUGUUGUUAAAGAAGAACAUAUCUGAGAGUAACUGUUCAGGUAUUGACGGUAUUUAACCAGAAAGCCACGGCUAACUACGUGCCAGCAGCCGCGGUAAUACGUAGGUGGCAAGCGUUGUCCGGAUUUAUUGGGCGUAAAGCGAGCGCAGGCGGUUUUUUAAGUCUGAUGUGAAAGCCUUCGGCUCAACCGAAGAAGUGCAUCGGAAACUGGGAAACUUGAGUGCAGAAGAGGACAGUGGAACUCCAUGUGUAGCGGUGAAAUGCGUAGAUAUAUGGAAGAACACCAGUGGCGAAGGCGGCUGUCUGGUCUGUAACUGACGCUGAGGCUCGAAAGUAUGGGUAGCAAACAGGAUUAGAUACCCUGGUAGUCCAUACCGUAAACGAUGAAUGCUAAGUGUUGGAGGGUUUCCGCCCUUCAGUGCUGCAGCUAACGCAUUAAGCAUUCCGCCUGGGGAGUACGGCCGCAAGGCUGAAACUCAAAGGAAUUGACGGGGGCCCGCACAAGCGGUGGAGCAUGUGGUUUAAUUCGAAGCUACGCGAAGAACCUUACCAGGUCUUGACAUACUAUGCAAAUCUAAGAGAUUAGACGUUCCCUUCGGGGACAUGGAUACAGGUGGUGCAUGGUUGUCGUCAGCUCGUGUCGUGAGAUGUUGGGUUAAGUCCCGCAACGAGCGCAACCCUUAUUAUCAGUUGCCAGCAUUAAGUUGGGCACUCUGGUGAGACUGCCGGUGACAAACCGGAGGAAGGUGGGGAUGACGUCAAAUCAUCAUGCCCCUUAUGACCUGGGCUACACACGUGCUACAAUGGAUGGUACAACGAGUUGCGAACUCGCGAGAGUAAGCUAAUCUCUUAAAGCCAUUCUCAGUUCGGAUUGUAGGCUGCAACUCGCCUACAUGAAGUCGGAAUCGCUAGUAAUCGCGGAUCAGCAUGCCGCGGUGAAUACGUUCCCGGGCCUUGUACACACCGCCCGUCACACCAUGAGAG